rnacentral:rRNA from 1 species
GACGAACGCUGGCGGCGUGCUUAACACAUGCAAGUCGAACGAUGAAGCUGGAGCUUGCUCCGGUGGAUUAGUGGCGAACGGGUGAGUAACACGUGAGCAAUCUGCCCUUGACUCUGGGAUAACUGCGGGAAACCGUAGCUAAUACCGGAUACUUUCACUGGAAGGCAUCUUCUGGUGAAGAAAGAAUUUCGGUCAAGGAUGAGCUCGCGGCCUAUCAGCUUGUUGGUGAGGUAACGGCUCACCAAGGCGACGACGGGUAGCCGGCCUGAGAGGGUGACCGGCCACACUGGGACUGAGACACGGCCCAGACUCCUACGGGAGGCAGCAGUGGGGAAUAUUGCACAAUGGGCGGAAGCCUGAUGCAGCAACGCCGCGUGAGGGAUGACGGCCUUCGGGUUGUAAACCUCUUUUAGCAGGGAUGAAGCGAAAGUGACGGUACCUGCAGAAAAAGCACCGGCUAACUACGGGCCAGCCGCCGCAGUAA